rnacentral:rRNA from 1 species
UGCAGUCGAACGCUUCUUUUUCCACCGGAGCUUGCUCCACCGGAAAAAGAAGAGUGCGUGAUUGGGUGAGUAACACGUGGGUAACCUGCCCAUCAGAAGGGGAUAACACUUGGAAACAGGUGCUAAUACCGUAUAACAAUCAAAACCGCAUGGUUUUGAUUUGAAAGGCGCUUUCGGGUGUCGCUGAUGGAUGGACCCGCGGUGCAUUAGCUAGUUGGUGAGGUAACGGCUCACCAAGGCCACGAUGCAUAGCCGACCUGAGAGGGUGAUCGGCCACAUUGGGACUGAGACACGGCCCAAACUCCUACGGGAGGCAGCAGUAGGGAAUCUUCGGCAAUGGACGAAAGUCUGACCGAGCAACGCCGCGUGAGUGAAGAAGGUUUUCGGAUCGUAAAACUCUGUUGUUAGAGAAGAACAAGGAUGAGAGUAACUGUUCAUCCCUUGACGGUAUCUAACCAGAAAGCCACGGCUAACUACGUGCCAGCAGCCGCGGUAAUACGUAGGUGGCAAGCGUUGUCCGGAUUUAUUGGGCGUAAAGCGAGCGCAGGCGGUUUCUUAAGUCUGAUGUGAAAGCCCCCGGCUCAACCGGGGAGGGUCAUUGGAAACUGGGAGACUUGAGUGCAGAAGAGGAGAGUGGAAUUCCAUGUGUAGCGGUGAAAUGCGUAGAUAUAUGGAGGAACACCAGUGGCGAAGGCGGCUCUCUGGUCUGUAACUGACGCUGAGGCUCGAAAGCGUGGGGAGCAAACAGGAUUAGAUACCCUGGUAGUCCACGCCGUAAACGAUGAGUGCUAAGUGUUGGAGGGUUUCCGCCCUUCAGUGCUGCAGCUAACGCAUUAAGCACUCCGCCUGGGGAGUACGACCGCAAGGUU